AUACGGAGGGUGCAAGCGUUAAUCGGAAUUACUGGGCGUAAAGUGUACGUAGGCGGUUAUUUAAGUCAGAUGUGAAAGCCCCGGGCUUAACCUGGGAACUGCAUUUAAAACUGGCGGACUAGAGUUGAGUAGAGGGGAGUGGAAUUUCAGGUGUAGCGGUGAAAUGCGUAGAGAUCUGAAGGAACACCAGUGGCGAAGGCGACUCCCUGGACUCGAACUGACGCUGAGGUACGAAAGCGUGGGUAGCAAACGGGAUUAGAAACCCGGGUAGUCC
rnacentral:rRNA from 1 species